rnacentral:sRNA from 12 species
GCUUUCAACAUCCCCGUCCGCCACUCCGCGCACGUACCAUGCAGAGCCGGCUGGACUGAAGGC